rnacentral:lncRNA from 1 species
UCCCUGACAGGCACUGCCACAGUGGGGAGCAUGGGACUGGGGAGAGGUGUGAGUAUCCCAGACCUCAGGUACACCAGGCUCACUGUCAUGGGAUCCCAAGAGAACGAUGAACAUUAAAACCAGUAUAUUAACAAGAAGAAUAUAUAAAUAUAAUACAAAAACCAGUAUAACUGCUAUUCUUUAGGACUGAGGUUCUCAGAGCGCUUCACCUCAUUUAAUCUCCGCAAAGCCCCUCUGAAAUGGUAGACAGAAGUGGUAAACAGCUGGGCCGGGCCAUGGGAAACGCCCGUUCUGGACAGCGAGGUCCCCAUUAGCCAGCCUUGAUCAGCAGCACCUGACACAGAAGGGCCCCGGUUGUUACUCACGUGUAAUUGAAACCAUAACAAGCCACGCAGCCACUUCUAUUGGUAAUAAACCACAUUCCAAAAGCUGUGGCACAACAGAGGCCCUCAUCUGGUUUAUUGUGAAACAGGAAUAUUUGGAAUUUAAAAGCCUAGUUGUUCUGGAACGUGUCAGAAGAAGGAAACAUUUUCACAGGCAGCACGCAGUAAAACAUCAUAAAUAUAACAGAUUGUUAAAGAUCAUUUACAAAUUUAUGAAUAAGGCUAGAGGGAGGACCCAAAUGAAAUACAAACAGAAACAAACAACGCUCUCUGCGUUUCAGAGAAGGGGAAAAAUGAAACUUGGAACAGUCUGUGCUUUCUCUCCACGUCCAAUGCCAGGACAGAAGGAGCUACAAACACAUCUUGAAGUAAUCAUGCUUGUUUUUCCAAGUUGUAUGGUUUUGGCAAUUCUAAAACUACUUUCUGCAUAUUAGAGGACUGAGCAAAUAAGUAAAUGUGUUUAUCAUGCUGAAAGACAGGUUUCUUACAGCUGGGAAAGGCUAGCCACAGCCCUAAAUGCUGCGUGAGAAUGGGAGUGGUCCGUGACAAUUUGGUUUUCAAUACAGAGAAGCAUGUGUGCAGAUGUAUUAUAUAUGAUACACACACAGUUUAUAUGUGCAGAUAUAUAUGAUACACACACAGUUUAUAUGUGCGGAUAUAUAUGACACAUUUAUAUGUGCAGAUGUAUUAUAUAUGAUACACAGUUUAUAUGUGCAGAUGUAUUAUAUAUGAUACACACACAGCUUACGUGUGCAGAUAUAUAUGAUACACACAGUUUCUUUCCCAGCUCUGUCCACCGAAGGGGCCUAGAAGCAAUGCCACCCCAGAAACAACUGGCACACCUGAAAUCCAUUUCUUGGUUUGUAAAUACCAUUCUCUAUUCCAAGGGAACAGAACUCUUUGGAGAAAUGACUAUUUCCAGGGAAGAGCAGAGAGAGUACAGGGUGAGCCUUAGAAUGUCUAGUGCUGGAAAAUAAGGAAAUGCUGAACAACGUUGGGGACAUGUGAGAGGGCUGGAGGAGCAGCCUGAAGGCUCUCCCCCUGUCCAAAUCGGGGGCAAUUUGAGCAUAAAAAUAAUUGUAGGAAGAGGCCAGGAAGGUGACAGAAUAGGAGGUUCCAGCCCUCAUGCCCCCACAGAAACACUGAGAGGUUCUAGCACCCCACAGGGCAAAGAGAGCACACCGAAGAGGCUAAGAAGGUUCAGUUUACCUGUGCUAGUGCUCCUCCAAUGAGGCCCCCCUGGGCCUGUGGUUUCUCCCACAGGGGAAACUGAGUGCUGAGUGAGCACCAGCUUCCCCAACCUUAUAGGAUGCUGCCCAAUAGCCCACCUGUGUCUCUCCCCAGAACACUGAGGAAUCAGCAUGGCUGAGUCACCUGGGGACUGCUAGGAGAAGGGAAGGACAUGCCUAGCAACCAACAGCCAGCCAUGGAUCCCACUAACCAGCUAACACUCCACCAGGAGGCCCGCCCAUGAACCCACAGAACAACUUGCCUGUGGGCCCCCCAACCAACUGAUCCAUGCCCCCAGCACUCCACGUACCCCUGAGCAUAUGGUGUCUCAUGCACCCUCCUCCCAAACAGUACACAGAUCUCAACGGCAGAUGCAAAUCUGAGCAGCCGGCUUGACUCUGCUGGACUGGGAGAAGGUGCCCAACCUUGAAUGCUUCAGAGCACUGCAUUAGGGAAAAUGGGAGGUGCUCAGUGUAGACCCAGCUUUGGAGGAUUGAGAGGAGCUUACAACCUAAGACUUCUCUCCCUAAGAGGGAGCAACAGGAGUAGAGUGGGUGUAUCUACAGAAAAGAUCUGAGCGAUCCCUCAAAUCCUUAGCUAGGAUGACUGAUGAAGGUCUUUCUCUCCCAAAGCCAGUCAACAAAGACUGGGGGACAGCCAGGCAUGGUAGCUUACACCUGUAAUCUCAGCACUUUGGGAGGCUGAGGUGGGAGGAUCACUUGAGGCCAGGAGUUUGAGACCACCCUGGGCAACAUAGUGAGAUCCCAUCUCUUAAAAAAAAACAUUAAAAAAAUUUUAAUAAGAAACAAGUAAGACUAAAGGAGGUGACCGCUUCUUCAAAUGUGAAGAUAGCAGCGCAAGUCUUCAAAAAUAUAUAUAUACAAAGAAUCAAGGAAAUAUGACACCUUUAAAGCAACAAAAUAAAGCUCUAAUAGUUGACCCCAAAGAAAUGGGGACUUAAUGGCCAGGCUCAGUGGCUUACACCUGUAAUCCCAACACUUUGGGAGGCCAAGGCAGGCAGAUCACAAGGUCAGGAGUUCGAGACCAGCCUGACCAACAUGGUGAAACCCCAUCUCUACUGAAAACACAAAAAUUAGCCGGGCGUGAUGGUGCACGCCUGUAAUACCAGCUACUCAGGAGGCUGAGGUAGGAGAAUCACUUGAACCUGGGAAGUAGAGGUU